AAAACAUGAGUGCCACACACAGUGUGUUCAUUAGUGACACUGAGUAGCACCUCUUUCCCAGAGCCGGAUGCUAAUUCAGAACCACUCCAUUGACCGUGAACACAUGUUCAUCCUGAGUCACACUAAUGGUUUUUACAUAGAACAUCUAUUCCUUCUUUUUCCCUUAGUGGAUGACUGAAAAGUCUUAGACAGUUACUUAUGGAAAACCAGAAGAGUAAGAGACCAAUGGCUUUCUGGUGUGGCUUCAUGAUGAGUGAAUCAGUUUUAUUCAUUCUUCAGUGGUCACUGAACAUUUUCUAAGUCCUUUUAUUUAGGAAACCAAAACUAAAGCUGUCUCAAAUUAAAUCUACCAGGAGAGAAAAAAAACCUAAACCAUUCACAGGUUAGGGUUUUGUUUUAAUCAAGAAACCUUGUAAGAGACCCUUGCAACAUCUGGUGGGAGCCUAAGCUAAGCAGAAACACUAAGUCCUUGUGUGCCAGGGAAUUGGGUAUGUGAAGCACAUAAUUCUCUCCUUUAUACAGUAAGCUUUCCAGGACACUUCCUUAACUCUGGGUAUACUCUUUCCUUAGCUAGUUUGUACUCAGGGAACACAGAUUUGUGAGAUGAAACACAAUUUGGAAAAUAAUCAUAAACAACCAAAUCAGAUUUUUAUACUGCUUUAUCUGUAGUCUCUACUGACAUGUGAGCAUGCUUAGUUAAUGUGGGUCUUACACUGAUAUUCACAAAACUUAACAGCCUGGAACAUACCUACCACAGACACUACAGCUCUGUCUGGUCACUGGUGACUAAGUUAAACUCCCAGUGUGAAGUCUCAUACCUAAAUGUGAGAUCUGCCCUUAGCCUUGUCUGCUUUGUGUUUGGUUUUAAAGACCUAAAACUUUUCAGUCUGGCGACUUGUCCUUCAGUUCCUCUGUGGCUUGUUUAAGUAGGGAUUAUGACUUAGUAUUCUUGGCAACUCUGUUGAAAACUUUGAUGAAGGCUAUGAGUGUAGUAAGUUUGAUCUUGGACUUGGCCUCAAUUUAAAACCCUAAAAUGAAAGGGAUUGAUAAAGAGCUCUCGUCCCUUUGAGCUCUAAAGCCCUGCCUUGUUUAGUUCUUCAGAACAUCAGGGUUAGUGUUCACAUUUUAUGUAUUUGUGUCAUACUAGUAUGAGUGUUCUGUCUUAGUUUGAGGCAUUUCAAAGGGACACUAACCAUAACUACUUGGACUGCUGGAAUGCAAAAAUCAAAACAUGGCAUGGGAUUUAGCAUUAAUUAGAAAAUGACUGAUAUGUAGCAGAGGUGGUGUGAUGCAUUUCCAGGUCUGCUAAUGCACCCUUGCAGUAAGCAGUCCAGUACGCAGGCUCAAUAGUCUCUCCAUAAGUCACAGUGCCAUACAUGUAUUCAUGUAUGUAUGCAUACAUGCACUCAUGCAGUGGUGACCAAUUGUUCAUUGCCGUUGUAUUCUUCUGGGCUGAGCGGUAAGCGUCUGUGAAACAUCGGAUAGACAAAUAAUAAAAACAAACACUGGUGUAUUGUUUGUAAGUCCUGGAAUGACAUAUAGUAGUUAUAACUGAACAUAGUUAAUCUAAUUAUAAAAGCUCAUUGAUUGCACUAACUAGAUGUAAUUUUGUGAAGUAUUUAUGAUUAUAUUGAUUUUUAUUGUAAGUAUUUAUAAGUUAUUGAGGGUGCUUAAAAUCCAGAAAAAUCUCUAGGACAUAUUUUUUUCUGCAACUUUAUUUAUAUGAUUUUGGUGUGGGGAGUUUUGUACUGGGGAUUGAGCCCAGGGCUUCACAUGUAUGAAGCAAGUGCUUAACUGCUGACCUAAACCCCAUGACCUUAGUUACGUGAUUUUUAAAGUACAGUCUCUUUUUGUAAAGGAAAAUUAGCCCCAGUCCUACCUAAAUGAUCACAGUUUGUGACUGUUAGCUGAAUUAGGCUUAUCUAAAUUUCAUUUUGAUAAUUUUUUAUUUUGUGCAUAAAUGGGACGACAUUGUUUUUAUGGAGUGUGUCUCUAUGAACUACCUAAUCACUAUUGGCUUGAUAGAAGUGCUCCAAGCCUUUUUAAACUUGGAAAUGUAACUUAAGUUAAUGAGCUUUAAACCAUGCAUAUAUGUAUGUGUAUAUACAUAUGUAUCAUGUAAACAAGUUAGCAGCAUCUUUACCAGCCUUUCUUGGAAUAUUUAUGAUGCCACUAAACAGUAAUAGCAUGAGAGACAGGCCCACAGUCUAGACUGGGUUGAGUUUUGAUUAAACUUCUUCAGCCAUAACCUGAACAGAAUCAGGUCCCAUCCGGAAGUUAUCAGACUGCAGGCCUGUAUUUUGUGAGCCAACAGUAAUAUUUACUGCCAGCCUUGCAUAACAAUGCCCUUUGUGACUGCAUGUGACUUUUGGUAGCUGUAGUUUAUGUCUAAAAGCAGUUCGAGUUUUAUAGAGGUAAUUCAUGAUUAUUUGGACAAGCAGGGUGGGUAAAUUCAAGUAUAUUUAAAGUGCAAUUAAGGAAAUUCUAGGGCAUAAUGUCUCCAGUUUAAAAAAAAGUCAAGGAUUUGUAGAAUGUCAUAGAAUGAAAAAAAUAUUGAGGAGACUUUUUAAAAGAUAAGGUUUAUACAGUGAUUUUUUUUUUUAAUUCAAGGUUUGCUACUUUGUGUUAAUUUAAAUUUUCAAAGAGACACCGAAGCCUCCUGGGAAAGAAUUGCAUUGUUAUUUUUCUCCUGCUAGUCUGAAUGUGCAUUUUCACAGCUAAAAGUCUCUUGUAAAUAAGGUUUGUUACCAAAUUUGAAGCCCAUUUUUUUUCUAAGUGGAGAACAUUUUUCCAGAAUUAAAGAGACACAGACCCACAGUCUACACAAAGAAAGAAAGAGUACCUGGUGCCUUCUCAAAUACUUGCAGAGUAGCCGUAAACGUGUGUUCAAAGUCUGCUGCCCCCAGCUCCCCCGUUUUCCUGAGACCUGUCCCACAGGCGGUCACGUGGUUUGCUUCUGCCUUUUGGUUCCACUUGACCAGACCUUACAGCGUCACCAUUGGAAUGUCUUCACUGAAUGCAUUUUCUGUUCAUUUGUUUCACUUUGUAAAGCCACCCGGGAAACUAUUUGGCUGCCUUCUUAUGCUUUUAAAAUGAAUGCAAUUACUAGCAGUCUUUAUAUUUUAAAGUUUAUAAAGAAAAGAAAUGCAAAGCUAAGGACCGGAUCUAAUUGGAUCUAAUUCCCUGUUUGCUAUUAUGGCAGCACAAGGUAUGUAACCUUGUGUAGUUUUCUCUUGUACAAAAUGUGGAUAAUAACCUACCUCACAGAUGUGUGUGAGAAACCGUUUGAAGGCCCCUAAGUAGGGGUUUCUAGUCCCAUCUUCAAUGUCAAUCUUUCCUUUUUUACUAGACACCUUUGAUAAUGAUAGAAUGAGUAUCUUGUUUUUAGAUGUCAUAUGUAAUAAGGGCAUAGUGCUGAGAAUGUUUAAGACACAGUUUCACAAAUCAUAAUAUUCUUACUGUAAGACACUUCAGAAUUUCUUGAAAACCUCAAAUGUUUAAAUAUCAGACCUGUCUUUUGAUUCAAUAAAUAUUGUUAUUCAAA
rnacentral:lncRNA from 1 species